AAUAAGAUGCCUGAUUAAAGGGCUAUCUUGAUAGGGUAGAUUAUGUUAUAAACUCUUAUUA
rnacentral:tRNA from 1 species